ensembl:lncRNA
UUCUGCUGGCGGUCCAGCGGGACAGUGCACGUGCUCACUCCUGCUACUGAGAAGAGAAGACGUGCACCUUCCACGGCCGCUUGGCGAGGCUGCCGAGACGCUGGCUUUGUGCCUCGCUGCUCGGGUUCUGGGCUGUUUUCUGCAGACAUGUCUCGAGUCUCUCUGUCUUCCAACUGCUCGCCCCACGGGGACAACUCGGUUACUCGCGAUGAUGCUUCUGUCUGUGCGAGAGGAAUUGGAUCCUGUCACAGAGAUGUGUUUUGGGAGGCACCACAGAGAUGGAACUGGAGACACUUUUGGAAGCGUGUGAUCAACUGAGUAACAUGAGUGGCUGUCUUAUAAACAUAUUGGACACAAACUGAAAAUUGCUGUGUUUGAAGGCGGUACUCUAUCUUCCCACCAUUAUAUCACAUGUCUUGGAUGUUGACCAGGUGAAGAUCAAAAUAUCAAUAUAGUAAUAUCCUUUGCUGUGGUAAAAAAAGCUGCUUUUAUGAAGCAAUAAUCAAGGCUUAUGUAUCAUCCUCUACAGUACAGAUGUGCACAGCUUUGUCAGGUGGGUGUGCUGCUCAGGAAGCUCAGCUUGCCGUUUAAAACAAAUCAUUAAACAUAAAACCACGGGGUCAAAGCUAUUGCCUCUGAAAUAGGAGAAGAAGAAGAACAACAGUUUAAAGGAGUAAAACUAUACUCACUAUAGUGAUUAGGUUUUUUACUUCACAAAACCACAAUAUCGUGGUUUUGUUUUUGUAAAUGUGUUUGUACAUGUUGAUGGGACAGCUAAAACGUCAUAUGAAAGGCAAAACUUCUUAUUUUAUUUACAUCCUCUCUUUGAGGAGAUCACACAGGACCUCUAGGGGGUAAUCUGCGCUGCGUUUGGGUAAGAAGAGCAACAUCUACUCCCAACAGCUGGAUCACAGAGUGAGGAGAGCUUCACUUAGGGAUCUAGCUGGAAUGCAAAUUGAGUCUACUACAUUCAACAGUUUACACAUAGAUAUCAAAGAUAUUUAAAAAUAGCACAUCAUGAAUCCUGAUUUCAAAAUCAAAAGAAUUAAUUUUGUUAUGAAACCUAAAACGUUUAAUUUUCAAAAUGUGAAAGCAUGCAUAUUUAAUCAAGCCGGCCUCAACAAUAUAAGUGAAUCAUCCACAAGGCUUUCUGGGAGUAAGUAUUUGUAUGUGCAAGCUGUGGUGAGUUAAACAGCCGUAGAGGUGGUGAAUUGCAGCUCACUGUCGAUGUCAUCGGGGGCAGUGAGACAGAACAACUUCAGCACAGUAAACUAUGCAGGAGACAAAACACAAAAUAGAUAAAUAAAAAAAAAUGAGAUGAGGAUCUGUUUCAUUGUCUGAGCAUUGUACGUAUUUAUUGACGGACAAAGACAUAAUGUCUUAUUGUGUAUUCAAUAAGUGUUUGUGUGUUUGGUUUUACUUCCCAUGGGUUCACUGCAGAAAAGACGGCUUAUCUGAGAAUAACAUUCAAAACAUCACUCGGAAAUCCACUGCAGAAUAAGUCUGCGUUGUAUUUAGGGGCGUUCAACGUGGUCAUUUAUUAACAAGUUAUUUGUUUUCCUUCUUGGAGAUUUAUGCAUCUAUGUCUUUGUAGUAAAAAUAAUCAGUUUUGCUUUGGAUGCAUCACAUUAACGAGCAGAUUCACCUAAAAAAAAUAUAUUCCCCAUGCGAUUAGGAACAGCAGUAAAACACAAUAACGCUUCAACUAUGAAUGUUUUUUUCUCUUUUAGUUUAUUCCUCCACUGAGCCAGGGGUGAUGCGUUGCUUUGCCCUCUCCGGAUACGAUCUGUCUGGUUCAAUGCAAGCUUGUGUGAAUAAUGCAUUAGAGACGAUGACCCCCCCACACCCUGACCGAGAGACAGAAGGGACAGAAAUAACACUGACGUCAGCCCACCGGGCAGCACGGAGAGAGAGAGAGAGGAUAUGGAGGGGAUAUUAAGUCUCAGGGAUCAGCUACACCUCUCAGUCGGCCCCCGUCUCGCAGCGUCAGGAGGGAUGCGUGCGUGUCAGGCCCUGCCUCUCGCUCGUCUUUCCUCGGCAACGUGACAGGCAUCUGUGAACGCCGGGGAGCCCGGAGAGGAGAGGCCACUCGCUGGGACCGAGCGAGAGGCGGUUCUGCCGUAUUGACUAUUUGCGAUGAGUCAAUGGGAUUUUGCAUUCCGGAGGCUGUCGUCUUCCAUUGGAAGAUUUCGGUCAAUUGUUUCAUUUUCCUCCUCAGCGGUCUCUCUUCUCCCCCCUUUCUCCUUCUCCUUAUAUCAGGGUAAGGUUAUUGUGCGCUCCCAGAGUCUGUGAGUGUGUGAGGUCUGCAAUUUGAAGCUCACUUCAGCCUUUCUGCCCCGAUUACCACCAGUCUAAACCCGCCCCCCCCCCCCAAAAACAACCCCCCUGGGGAUUUCUCUGCUGUACUACCCUCCUUACCAGCCUGUGCACUCAUACGCAGCAUAUUCCUGCAGUCACGAUGCACAGGCCGUCUUACAGCAGACAAUAGCAGCAUACUGAUCAGCUGGUCAGCGCAGCCCAUCGGUCGUCUUGUGAGUCGUCUCAUCCUGCCAGUCAGCCCGCUGGCUUCUGUCUCGUUCAAACGGGGGGCGACAAAUCAAAUAUUUGUUCAUGAAUUAUAGAACUGAAAAGGAUUAUCAGUAAACCAACGUAGAGCACUUUGUAAUACACUUGGGUUUUAUCCUGAAAAGCUUGUUGUGGAUGAGCAAUAACAUCGAGGACGCCACAAAAGACGUCGGAUGUCCAGUUCACAUGUUCCAGUGAAUCAUGUCCUGGUUGUCAUAGAGGCAAGAACAAGCAAAAGAGGAAGAGGUAAAAGAAACUUUAAGAAGUACCGUAUCAAACCCAGAGCACACUGACAGGUCAGAGGUCAAGGACUGACGCUGAGAGGUGCUUAACAUCUCGCCAGAUCCACUGGAGGCCCAUUGAAUUUCAUGAUGGAAAAAGAGUUGUCAUGUUUGUGUUAAAGAGAUAUCAAUGAGAGUCCCCCGCCUCUCCGCCGCGGUGGAUGAAUACAUCGUUCGAACAAAACUGGUAAGAUGUAGCUGGGCGACUGCGCAGUUGUUUCGUUGCCAAAAAUGUGCUCUCUCGCUCCCUUUCUCCCAAAUCAUUAUGCUUUCCGCUGCCAACGUCCUCCUGCUGAAAGAGGACUUUCUCUUUGUUAGUAGGAAUAUUCAAAUUUGACAAAUCUUUUUCCCGGCUGCUAAUUCAGCAUAAUUAAAUCCUGAGCGUCUGCAGAUCUGAAAUGGUGGCCUCAGACUAAAUGUACUGGGGGGGGCACUUUGAUAUCAGGGACUCUCCUUGCCUCUUUAGUCCAAUGUAGAUCUAUACGAUGUAGAUCAAUCAUAGAAAUCUGAGCUACCCCCUUUUUGCUGACUCCCAUAAUCAGACUUUCUGUAAAAGUUGUUAUCUGAGCCAAGGGUUCUUGCACCGUGCAAACACACCCAGCGAAACCUCUGGAAAAUCUAUUCACAGGAAAGGCAGAAAGAACCACACAUAUUUAUUCCUCGCUGCAUCAGGGAUAAAAGGGAUGCAUAUGAAAUUGAAGUACAUGCGUUCAUCUUGAUCUGCUUCUCGAUCAGUGAGGAGUCGGUCGGACAGACAGACACUGGGAGAGUUCGCUUGGAAAGCUCUCUUUGUGGAGACUCCCUCCCCUGUGCGUGGGGGGGAAAAUGAAGCAUUAGAGUGUGUGCCGGCACGGCAGAGGAGAGAUGAAAGAGCGCCUGACUCCAUCACCCGAGAUCUCCUCCUUCUCUGUUUGAUCCUGUCUUCCGGUCGGCUGGCUUCCAGAGAGCAGCACGCGGAGCCGGGG